rnacentral:rRNA from 1 species
GACGAACGCUGGCGGCGUGCUUAACACAUGCAAGUCGAACGGAAAGGCCCUGCUUUUGUGGGGUGCUCGAGUGGCGAACGGGUGAGUAACACGUGAGUAACCUGCCCUUGACUUUGGGAUAACUUCAGGAAACUGGGGCUAAUACCGGAUAGGAGCUCCUGCUGCAUGGUGGGGGUUGGAAAGUUUCGGCGGUUGGGGAUGGACUCGCGGCUUAUCAGCUUGUUGGUGGGGUAGUGGCUUACCAAGGCUUUGACGGGUAGCCGGCCUGAGAGGGUGACCGGCCACAUUGGGACUGAGAUACGGCCCAGACUCCUACGGGAGGCAGCAGUGGGGAAUAUUGCACAAUGGGCGGAAGCCUGAUGCAGCAACGCCGCGUGCGGGAUGACGGCCUUCGGGUUGUAAACCGCUUUCGCCUGUGACGAAGCGUGAGUGACGGUAAUGGGUAAAGAAGCACCGGCUAACUACGUGCCAGCAGCCGCGGUGAUACGUAGGGUGCGAGCGUUGUCCGGAUUUAUUGGGCCGUAAGGGCUCGUAGGUGGUUGAUCGCGUCGGAAGUGUAAUCUUGGGGCUUAACCCUGAGCGUGCUUUCGAUACGGGUUGACUUGAGGAAGGUAGGGGAGAAUGGAAUUCCUGGUGGAGCGGUGGAAUGCGCAGAUAUCAGGAGGAGCACCAGUGGCGAAGGCGGUUCUCUGGGCCUUUCCUGACGCUGAGGAGCGAAAGCGUGGGGAGCGAACAGGCUUAGAUACCCUGGUAGUCCACGCUGUAAACGGUGGGUACUAGGUGUGGGGUCCAUUCCACGGGUUCCGUGCCGUAGCUAACGCUUUAAGUACCCCGCCUGGGGAGUACGGCCGCAAGGCUAAAACUCAAAGGAAUUGACGGGGCCCCGCACAAGCGGCGGAGCAUGCGGAUUAAUUCGAUGCAACGCGUAGAACCUUACCUGGGUUUGACAUGGAUCGGGAGCGCUCAGAGAUGGGUGUGCCUCUUUUGGGGUCGGUUCACAGGUGGUGCAUGGCUGUCGUCAGCUCGUGUCGUGAGAUGUUGGGUUAAGUCCCGCAACGAGCGCAACCCUUGUUCACUGUUGCCAGCACGUUAUGGUGGGGACUCAGUGGAGACCGCCGGGGUCAACUCGGAGGAAGGUGGGGAUGACGUCAAGUCAUCAUGCCCCUUAUGUCCAGGGCUUCACGCAUGCUGCAAUGGCUGGUACAGAGAGUGGCGAGCCUGUGAGGGUGAGCGAAUCUCGGAAAGCCGGUCUCAGUUCGGAUUGGGGUCUGCAACUCGACCUCAUGAAGUCGGAGUCGCUAGUAAUCGCAGAUCAGCAACGCUGCGGUGAAUACGUUCCCGGG